GUCUUCGUUGUGUAAAGGUCAGCACACUCGGCCCAUAUUCGAGAGGUCCGAGGUUCGAGUCCCGGCGAGAGCA
rnacentral:tRNA from 1 species